UGAGAAACAGCAAGGUCAAGAUCAUAUAUGUCAAGGAAUGGCAGUAACAAUCUAAAUGCAUUUAAGGUUGGUUUACAUCUUGCCCUUCUGGAGCGAGGCAUUAACAUUGCCCAUCAAGAAUGGACUGAGCACUUCAGUGAUGGCUUUCACUAGCCAUGAGGAGUGUGAUUCCAUCUCACUGGUCAUGCCACGUUCCUAACCACUUCCAGGACCUCUGUCCAUGAAAUCAGGCCUAAAGAUAGGAAACAAUCGAUGGUAAGUCAUAUGGAUCGGAGAGCUUCGUCGAACGUUGAAGCUUUGAGGAGGCAAUCGUCUAGGUUGCUGGAGGCCUAGGGACCGGAAGGUUGCCCUUGCAUCCUUCAUCGAAUGAAGCACGUCGUUUGUGGUGGAGGCAAAAAGUUUUUCCCCAUUGAAGGGAAGAUCUUCAAUGGUGCUCUGGACCUCUCGAGGAAAGAAGGAGAAGGAGAGCCAUGAACCCCGUCGCAUGACCACUGCUGUGGCGGUCGACCUUGCUGCAGUGUUAGCUACAUCGAGGGCCGCUUGGAGAGCGGUACGUGAUAUGGUUUGUCCCUCGGAAACCAGAGCUGUGAAUUGUUGUUUCUUCUGCUCUGGGAUGUGAU